GAUGAACGCUGGCGGCGUGCUUAACACAUGCCAGUCGAACGGUGAAGGCGGAGCUUGCUCUGCUGGAUCAGUGGCGAACGGGUGAGUAACACGUGAGCAAUCUGCCCCUGACUCUGGGAUAAGCGCUGGAAACGGCGUCUAAUACUGGAUACGAACAGCGAAGGCAUCUUCAGCAGCUGGAAAGAACUUCGGUCAGUGAUAAGCUCGCGGCCUAUCAGCUUGUUGGUGAGGUAACGGUUCAACAAGGCGUCGACGGGUAGCCGGCCUGGGAGGGUGAACGGCCACAAGGGGACUGAGGCACGGCCCAGACGCCUACGGGAGGCAGCAGUGGGGAAUAUUGCACAAUGGGCGAAAGCCUGAGGCAGCAACGCCGCGCGAGGGACGACGGCCUUCGGGUUGUAAACCUCUUUUAGCAGGGAAGAAGCGAAAGUGACGGUACCUGCAGAAAAAGCGCCGGCUAACUACGUG
rnacentral:rRNA from 1 species